rnacentral:rRNA from 1 species
AUACGUAGGGAGCGAGCGUUGUCCGGAAUUACCGGGUGUAAAGGGUGCGUAGGCGGGACUGCAAGUCAGAUGUGAAAUGCCGGGGCUCAACCCCGGAGCUGCAUUUGAAACUGUGGUUCUUGAGUGAGGUAGAGGUAAGCGGAAUUCCUAGUGUAGCGGUGAAAUGCGUAGAUAUUAGGAGGAACAUCGGUGGCGAAGGCGGCUUACUGGGCCUUUACUGACGCUGAGGCACGAAAGCGUGGGGAGCAAACAGGAUUAGAUACCCUGGUAGUCCACGCUGUAAACGAUGAUGACUAGGUGUGGGGGGACUGAACCCUUCCGUGCCGCAGUUAACACAAUAAGUCAUCCACCUGGGGAGUACGGCCGCAAGGUUGAAACUCAAAUGAAUUGGCGGGG